rnacentral:rRNA from 1 species
UACGGGGGGGGCAAGCGUUGUUCGGAAUUACUGGGCGUAAAGGGCUCGUAGGCGGCCAACUAAGUCGGAUGUGAAAUCCCCAGGCUUAACCUGGGACCUGCAUCCGAUACUGGAUGGCUUGAAUCCGGGAGAGGGAUGCGGAAUUCCAGGUGUAGCGGUGAAAUGCGUAGAUAUCUGGAGGAACACCGGUGGCGAAGGCGGCACCCUGGACCGGUAUUGACGCUGAGGCGCGAAAGCCAGGGGAGCAAACGGG